rnacentral:rRNA from 1 species
AUGCAAGUCGAGCGAAGCACCUUGACGGAUUCUUCGGAUUGAAGCCUUGGUGACUGAGCGGCGGACGGGUGAGUAACGCGUGGGUAACCUGCCUCAUACAGGGGGAUAACAGUUGGAAACGGCUGCUAAUACCGCAUAAGCACACAGUACCGCAUGGUACGGUGUGAAAAACUCCGGUGGUAUGAGAUGGACCCGCGUCUGAUUAGGCAGUUGGUGGGGUAACGGCCUACCAAGCCGACGAUCAGUAGCCGACCUGAGAGGGUGACCGGCCACAUUGGGACUGAGACACGGCCCAAACUCCUACGGGAGGCAGCAGUGGGGAAUAUUGCACAAUGGGGGAAACCCUGAUGCAGCGACGCCGCGUGAGCGAUGAAGUAUUUCGGUAUGUAAAGCUCUAUCAGCAGGGAAGAAAAUGACGGUACCUGACUAAGAAGCCCCGGCUAACUACGUGCCAGCAGCCGCGGUAAUACGUAGGGGGCAAGCGUUAUCCGGAUUUACUGGGUGUAAAGGGAGCGUAGACGGCAUGGCAAGCCAGAUGUGAAAGCCCGGGGCUCAACCCCGGGACUGCAUUUGGAACUGUCAGGCUAGAGUGUCGGAGAGGAAAGCGGAAUUCCUAGUGUAGCGGUGAAAUGCGUAGAUAUUAGGAGGAACACCAGUGGCGAAGGCGGCUUUCUGGACG